AUUGAACGCUGGCGGCAGGCUUAACACAUGCAAGUCGAGCGGGGGAAGGUAGCUUGCUACCGGACCUAGCGGCGGACGGGUGAGUAAUGCUUAGGAAUCUGCCUAUUAGUGGGGGACAACAUCUCGAAAGGGAUGCUAAUACCGCAUACGUCCUACGGGCGAAAGCAGGGGCUCUGCGGACCUUGCGCUAAUAGAUGAGCCUAAGUCGGAUUAGCUAGUUGGUGGGGUAAAGGCCUACCAAGGCGACGAUCUGUAGCGGGUCUGAGCGGAUGAGCCGCCACACUGGGACUGAGACACGGCCCAGACUCCGACGGGAGGCAGCAGUGGGGAAUAUUGGACAAUGGGGGGAACCCUGAUCCAGCCAUGCCGCGUGUGUGAAGAAGGCCUUAUGGUUGUAAAGCACUUUAAGCGAGGAGGAGGCUACUCUAGUUAAUACCUAGGGAUAGUGGACGUUACUCGCAGAAUAAGCACCGGCUAACUCUGUGCCAGCCGCCGCCGUAA
rnacentral:rRNA from 1 species